rnacentral:misc_RNA from 1 species
UCCGAGUUGACCCCGGCAGUCUCCCAUGAGUCCCCGCCAUCACGCGCUGGCAACAUGGAACGAGGGUUGCGCUCGUUGCGGGACUUAACCCAACAUCUCACGACACGAGCUGACGACAACCAUGCACCACCUGUGCACGGCCCUUACGGACCCCGCAUCUCUGCGAGAUUUCCGUGCAUGUCAAGCCUAGGUAAGGUUCUUCGCGUUGCAUCGAAUUAAUCCGCAUGCUCCGCCGCUUGUGCGGGCCCCCGUCAAUUCCUUUGAGUUUUAGCCUUGCGGCUGUACUCCCCAGGCGGGGCACUUAAUGCGUUUGCUGCGGCACGGAACUCGUGGAAUGGUCCCCACAUCUAGUUCCCAACGUUUACGGGGUGGACUAC